CCUGGCCCAACGAAGAAGAUCCUGUUCGUCGCCCUUCCUCAAAACCAAAGAGAACGAGCCGAAGAGGAGGUCCUUCGAAAGCAAGGAAGGUUAACAAGACUCCAGGUCGACCUUGAUCUUUCCCUUCUUUCUUUAUUCGUUCGAAGAGUGCGUACAAUUUUUCUUAUAUUCUUCUCUCCCCUUUCUUUUACAUACCAGCUCCUUCAAAGAUUAUGGGGAAAAUGAAUGUCGACGCAGUGGGUGAUUACUCAUCAAGAUACAAGAAGAAAUCGUCGGUGACGCCGUCAAAGAGGAUGAGCCGGGAAGAAGACGAGGCCAUGGCCUUAGGAAAACGUCUU
rnacentral:lncRNA from 1 species